UACGUAGGGUGCUAGCGUUGUCCGGAUUUAUUGGGCGUAAAGAGCGUGUAGGCGGUUAGGUAGGUCCGUUGUGAAAACUCGAGGCUCAACCUCGAGACGCCGAUGGAAACCAUCUGACUAGAGUCCGGAAGAGGAGAGUGGAAUUCCUGGUGUAGCGGUGAAAUGCGCAGAUAUCAGGAAGAACACCCGUGGCUAAGGCGGCUCUCUAGUACGUGACUGACGCUGAGACGCGAAAGCGUGGGGAGCAAACAGG
rnacentral:rRNA from 1 species